GCUCAGUCAGUUAAGUGGCUGACUCUUGAUUUCAGCUCAGGUCAUGAUUUGUGGGUUCGAGCCCCACUUUGGGCU
rnacentral:tRNA from 1 species